rnacentral:rRNA from 1 species
UACGUAGGGUGCGAGCGUUGUCCGGAAUUAUUGGGCGUAAAGAGCUCGUAGGUGGCCUGUCGCGUCGGAUGUGAAAGCCCGGGGCUUAACCCCGGGUCUGCAUUCGAUACGGGCAGGCUAGAGUGUGGUAGGGGAGAUCGGAAUUCCUGGUGUAGCGGUGAAAUGCGCAGAUAUCAGGAGGAACACCGGUGGCGAAGGCGGAUCUCUGGGCCAUUACUGACGCUGAGGAGCGAAAGCGUGGGGAGCGAACAGG